AGGUUCGGUUUUUCCCUAUUUUCUCCCAUACCCUUAGUGAUAUUCUAUUUAUUUUUUGACAGAUGAUUGUUCUUGUAUCUAUCCACUCCCUGUUUUUUUUUGGUAUCCAUACAGUGAUUUUUGUUGAAGUUAUAGGGAUUACAAUUUUUUGGGUGUUUUGGUCUCUACUGGGGUGACUUUGGACAGAGGUGUGUCCCACUUUAGAUGUGGUCGAAAAAUGUAAAAGUAUCCUUUUUUAAAUUUCGGGAAAAUUUGUGUUGAUAGCUUUUUAUUUUAUGACAAUUUUCGGUAAAGUUUAUUAAAGAAAACAUUUGAAGUAAAAAUUUUUCUUAUCGUAUAAGAUUUAGAUAGUGAAUGUAGAAGAGGAGGUGGAGCUAAAUUAUAUCGAUAAUUUGUUAAUUGUUCUUUAGAAUCGAUUCUAGAUGGAUCCCCCGUUGAUUGAUUGUGUGUCAGAUGUCAUGGCUUCCUCAGCUACUGAAAGUCAAAGUUUAAAUUUGAUUAAUGGUGAAAUUUUCUUUGUCACAAUCGACGUAUCUACCGAUUCUUACACAUUCUGGAUUGCAGAUUCGUUAACUGGAAGAUAUUUCGACGUAACCACUGCAGAAUUCUUUGUUUGCAAUAUGCCACCCAUGUUUGAUGAGGAGUUUAGUGAUUGUCCUCGUACAAUUUAAGUUUCAAAAUGCCGAGAAAUUAUGUCAGAAAAAGAACCAAACCCCCUCCAUCUGAAGACUUGUUACGUAUGGCAAUUGGGGAGGUUCUGUCAGGCAAAUCAUCUAUUAGAAAAGCCGCAGAGAAGUUCAAUCUUUGUCAUUCAAGUUUAGCGUACUACAGUAAAAGAUUUGCUUCCUGUGGACUACUUCCCCCCCAAAAAGUGAAACGCAGUGAACACUCAACUCAAAUUAUCCCAGCAAAGUACGAAGCUGAAUUGGCAGAAUACUUGAAGAAAUGUACACUGAUUAACCAUGGCCUUUCGCCAAACGAAACACGUGUUAUUGCCUAUUCAUUUGCUACUGCAAAUCGUAUAUCGACGCCACAGAAUUGGUCAAAGCAUGAAAAAGCUUCACAAGAUUGGCUUUCUUUUUUUCUUAAACGCAACCCUACUUUGUCAAUAAGAAAGCCAGAACAAACUAGCCAAGCUAGAGCAGCUGGGUUCAAUAAGCCGGUUGUAGAAAAUUUUUAUGACAAGUUGGACUUUUUAUUUAAAAACAUAAGUUCAAGCCUCAUCAAAUAUGGAAUGGAGACGAAACAAACACGCCAACUGUUGUGCAGCCUCCCAAAGUGAUCGCAUGUAAAGGAACUAAACAGGUUCAGCAAACUGUGUCUGCUGAAAGGGGGACAAACGUUACCAUGCUGGCUUUUAUCAGUGCUUCCGGUACUACCGUACCACCAGUUUUCGUGUUCCCUAGGAAAAAAUUAUUGCCCCCUAUGUAUGAAAGUGGACCACUAGGAUGCAUUGGACUCGCACACGAUUCUGGGUGGAUGACUGGUCCAA